rnacentral:rRNA from 1 species
AUUGAACGCUGGCGGCAGGCCUAACACAUGCAAGUCGAACGAGUGGCGGACGGGUGAGUAAUGUCUGGGAAACUGCCCGAUGGUGGGGGAUAACCACUGGAAACGGUAGCUAAUACCGUACACCAUCGGAUUGGCCCAGAUGGGGUUAGCUAGUAGGUGGGGUAACGGCUCACCUAGGCGACGAUCCCUAGCUGGUCUGAGAGGAUGACCAGCCACACGGGAACUGAGACACGGUCCAGACUCCUACGGGAGGCAGCGGUGGUGAAUAGUGCACAAGGGGCGCAAGCCUGAUGCAGCCAUGCCGCGUGUAUGAAGAAGGCCUUCGGGUUGUAAAGUACUUUCAGCGGGGAGGCGUUACCCGCAGAAGAAGCACCGGCUAACUCCGUGCCAGCAGCCGCGGUAAUUC